UUAUCUUAAUAUCCCAACAUCUUUAUCUCUCAUUCCUCACAUUCCGGCCGGCUGCCAAAUCUUUAUCGUUCUCUUUGAUUUUAUAACAGUCGCCAUGAAAUCAAAGAGGGUGAUUGCCACAACUGCACUGGUUUGUGCUCUCACUCAACUCAUUCUACCCGACGGAUUGCCUUGCUCACACUCCUUCGUCCGCUUAUUGUUCAUUAUCAUUACGGAUUGCUUCGAUUCACGCUAUGCUCAAGCCAAAGCGCUACGUAGGGAUCAUUCAAACGAGAACUUUAGAGGAAAUUGAAUCAUGUAGACUCAUCCCAGAAUCUCUAUUCCAACCCCUUUUCGCCUUGGUUUAAUAUUCAAAGUUUUCGAGCAUGUCUGCGUGUUUCUUGAGAAAGUAUCAGAAUCAAUAUCAGAAAAUGAAGAACUUCCUGCAA